GAAAAAUGACCCCAGCGAGAGCCGGGAUGGGCUCCGCAUCUCAAGUGGCUCCCCGGGAGAGGCCAGACGGUGCCCUCCGCCAGGAGCUCGGCGGCAGGAGGCGGAGGGCGGUGGUAAAGGCACUGCUCUGCCUGCAGCUGGUGCUGGGAUGGGGCAGGCAGCGCAGGGAUUUUUCUCUCGUGGGAGUUUCCUCCAACUCCAUCAACAGGUCGUUCUGAUUUCCCCUCGUUAGUGAAAGGAGAAUCAGACCCUAAAAGGGCUCUGAGAGGUGCUGGUUGUACACCCAAACCUGCAGGUGAUGGUUCUGGUCCCUCUCCCUGCCAGCUCUGGGUGCUUGUGGCAAAGAGAGGGUGAGCCCUCUGUAGGCGAGGGAAACUGAGGCAUGGAGAGAAGGGGCUUGGUGAGCUGUGGGAGGGAGCCCCAGUGCCUUGCACACCUUUUUGGGCCCAUUUUCCCUUGAUCUGGGAAAUCACUUACAUGCUGAACCCCAUCUGAGCUUGGGCAUGGAGCCCUCCUGUGGGAGGGCUGGAGAGCAGCAGUGGGUGCUCGUGGGGCAGGGGUGGGGGGGACUUGGUUUGGGGCCCCUCUUGGCAUCUUAAAAGCUCUUUUGGCUGCUCAAACAAACUUCUCUGUGCCUUUGCAAAGCUCUCCUCUGGCUGCCCUGUGUCCGCUGGAGAGACACGCAUGUCCUCUGCGCUGGUGGCUGGGGACAGAGGGACACCUUGAACGGACAGAAAGGGCUGCAGCGGGGCAUCUCCUGGUGCUGGUGCCAAGGACAGACCCCUCCUGUCUGCAGCACCCUCCUGGCGAGGACCAGCACGGUUCCCCAGCACGGCAGCUCCCUGCCAGGCUUGCUUCUGGAACAGCCGCAGAUCUCGUGCAGCUCUUUAAUCAAACGUUUCAGAGCCUCAAGAGCUGGAAAGGAUUCGGGGAAUGCGGCUGGGUUGUUUGCAAACUUCUCCGGGCUCCAGGCGUGCUCCCGGCUCUCCUUUCUCCAAGACCAAAGGGAACCCGAGCCGGGAGCCCUGCAGAUGUGAGCUUCACCCCAAUACGGGGCUGGGACCAGGCACACGAGCCAGAGCCAGUGGCCACAUUCAGGAUAUUUAGGCUGGGUCCUGGCUGGAGCAAGGAUCUGCAGCAAAGCCCAGGGCACGUGGAAGUGGGAGCCGCCUCCCUGCUGAGCUCUGCGGGAUGCAGCAGCCCGUGGUUAGGGCUGGGCCCUCUGCAGCUGACCUCGGGUGGUGUUUCAGCGUCCAAAAGAACUUCAGCGGCUUCGAGGGUGAUGCCUCCCUUGGAAACAGCAACCUGA
rnacentral:lncRNA from 1 species